UACGUAGGGUGCAAGCGUUGUCCGGAAUCAUUGGGCGUAAAGAGCUCGUAGGCGGUUUGUCGCGUCUGCCGUGAAAGUCCGGGGCUCAACUCCGGAUCUGCGGUGGGUACGGGCAGACUAGAGUGAUGUAGGGGAGACUGGAAUUCCUGGUGUAGCGGUGAAAUGCGCAGAUAUCAGGAGGAACACCGAUGGCGAAGGCAGGUCUCUGGGCCACUACUGACGCUGAGAAGCGAAAGCAUGGGGAGCGAACAGG
rnacentral:rRNA from 1 species